ACAGUCCGCAAGGUUUUGAGAGGGCUCCCGUCUGAUGAGAAGCCAUGUUCGUGCUGUCUGCAUAUGUGUCUACCGCUACUGUUCUGAUCGUUAAAGAGUCUUAUUUCACCGACCGGGAACUGUAGCCCUGGUCACACGAGUCCGCGAUGAAAAAAGGAGAGAGGUUUCGGAGGGCACAGGAAGCGCUGGCUGCGAGCUUCUCAUAGGACGAUUCCUAACAUCCGUGAAACAAAUUCCACCAGCAGUGGUUCAUUAGCCUGCUGGCUGCAGUCCCUUCCCCGGAGACGAAGCUGGCGGCCCUUCGGCUAGAGGCGGAGGAGAAGGAGCUGGGUACCAUGGCCUGGGUGCUGAAGAUGGACGAUGCCACCAUCGAGUCAGGGCUGGUACACGACUUUGAUGCCAGUCUGUCGGGCAUCGGGCAGGAGCUGGGGGCUGGAGUAUACAGUAUGAGUGAUGUGCUGGCCCUGCCCAUCUUUAAACAGGAAGAGUCCAGUCUCCCUUCAGACCGUGAGCGCAGCGCUCUGAACCCUCCCUUCCAGUAUGUUCUCUGUGCUGCCACCUCCCCUGCCGUCAAACUACACGACGAGACCCUCACCUACCUAAACCAAGGCCAGUCUUAUGAGAUCCGUAUGCUGGACAACAGGAAGCUGGAGUUAUCAGAGAUAAACAACAGGAGUGUGAAGAGUAUCGUUAGGGUGGUGUUCCAUGACAGGAGACUCCAGUACACAGAGCAUCGGCAGCUGGAGGGGUGGAAGUGGAAUCGCCCUGGAGACCGUCUCCUAGACAUCGACAUCCCCUUGUCAGUGGGUAUCACGGAGCCCAAGGCCGAUCCCACCCAGCUCAACGCCGCCGAGUUUCUCUGGGACCUCAACAGGAGAGCCUCUGUGUUUGUGCAGGUUCACUGCAUCAGUACAGAGUUCACCCCCAGGAAGCAUGGAGGAGAGAAGGGAGUUCCCUUCAGGAUCCAGAUCGACACCUUCAGACAGGGAGACAACGGAGAGUCCACUGAACACCUCCACUCUGCCUCCUGUCAGAUCAAAGUCUUCAAGCCAAAGGGGGCAGACAGGAAACAGAAGACGGACAGAGAGAAGAUGGAGAAACGAACGUCUCAAGAGAAGGAGAAGUACCAAUGUUCCUACAACACCACCAUCCUAUCAGAGAUGAGGCUGGAGCCGAUCGUAGAGGAAGUGGGAGACUAUGAGCUGAAGAAGUCCAGCAAGAGGACGCUGCCGGCUGACUGUGGGGACUCGCUGGCCAAGAGAGGCAGUUGUUCUCCAUGGCCUGAUGCCUACGUCGGCUCUCCCCGGACAGCUGGCCCCUCCUUCACCUCCACACCCCUCUCCACGUACACUGCCUCCUCCGUACCUGACAGUGACUCAUCGUCGCCCAAUCACCAGGCAGACCCUGCCAGCCAAGUCGUCACAGAGCAACUCAGUCCAACAGCCACCAUCCAGGAGACUCAGAAGUGGCUUGUCAAAAACCGCUUCAACAGCUACGCACGACUCUUCUCCCACUUCUCAGGUUUUGACUUACUAAAGUUGACCCGGGAUGAUCUGGUUCAGAUCUGUGGAGCUGCUGAUGGAAUCAGACUCUUCAACACACUAAAAUCCAGGUCGGUGUGUCCCAGGUUGACCCUCUAUGUGUGUCAGGAGUGUGAGGUAGAGAGCCCCCUGCUGGAGAGAAGCUGUGACAGCCAGAACAGAGAGCGCAGUGACACACCUCAUUUAUAUGUGUACCAUGCUCUGUACCUGGAGGAGCUGACUGCGGCUGAGUUGAUCAGGAAGAUGGCGUGUGUGUGUCGUGUUCCACUGGGACACAUCAACCAGGUCUACCGACAAGGACCCACAGGGAUACACAUACUGCUGAGUGACCAGAUGGUUUACAACUUACCGGACGAGAGCUGCUUUCUGAUCGGCACAAUCAAAGAUGAAACGGGGGAGGGGCUCCACCAAAUGGGGGAGGGACUUCACCUGGUUUUGAAGUAGCGAUAGAAGAUGACAUCACUCAACACUCCUCCCUCUGUGUGGAGGGGAGCAGCCUCCAUCCCUCCCUCUCUCCUAUCGUCCAGAUUGCUGUGUCGAAGGCAGACGGACAGAGAUACUGAACUGCGGCCUUGUUAAUGUUAGAAUCUGACGGGGCCUGACCACUGUUUCAUAUUGAAAACACUAUUUACUGAGGGGGGGGGACUUUGUUUAUUCUUAAAUGUUUAUAUUGUUGUACGAGAGGAGGGAGGCUGCCACCCCAAACAGAGAGAGUCAUAUAGAGGGAGGCUGCCCCCCACAUAGUCCUAUGGAGGAGGGAGGCUGCCCCCCACAUAGUCCUAUAGAGGAGGGAGGGAGGCUGCUCCCCCACAGAGAGUCAUAUAGAGGAGGGGAGGGAGGGAGGCUGCUCCCCCACAGAGAGUCAUAUAGAGGAGGGGAGGGAGGGAGGCUGCUCCCCCACAGAGAGAGAGUCAUAUAGAGGAGAGGAGGGAGGCUGCCCCCCCCGCACACAGAGUCAUAUAGAGGAGAGGAGGGAGGCUGCUCCCUCACAGAGAGAGAGUCAUAUAGAGGAGAGGAGGGAGGCUGCUCCCUCACAGAGAGAGAGUCAUAUAGAGGAGAGGAGGGAGGCUGCUCCCCCACAGAGAGAGUCAUAUAGAGGAGGGGAGGGAGGGAGGCUGCCCCCCCCCACACAGAGAGAGUCAUAUAGAGGAGAGGAGGGAGGCUGCCCCCCCACACAGAGAGAGUCAUAUAGAGGAGAGGAGGGAGGCUGCCCCCCCCCACACAGAGUCAUAUAGAGGAGAGGAGGGAGGCUGCCCCCCCCCACACAGAGUCAUAUAGAGGAGAGGAGGGAGGCUGCCCCCCCCACACAGAGUCAUAUAGAGGAGAGGAGGGAGGCUGCCCCCCACACAGAGUCAUAUAGAGGAGAGGAGGGAGGCUGCCCCCCCCACACAGAGUCAUAUAGAGGAGAGGAGGGAGGCUGCCCCCCACAGAGUCCCAUAUAGGCAGCACGAUAGGCCUCAGACAGGGCCAGUCAUCAGUCAGUGCUGUUGGACCUCUCUGUGACUCGAGUUUCAGACAGACAGCAGACAGAACCCAGCCGCUUGUCUCAUUCGCUCUGACCUGAGACUCGACCACACCCACUUUCACGGAAGCAGAGCUGGCGACUUACAAAACACUAUCUAGAUCACGCCGGCCCCAGCGUGGACCUUCUGAUCUGUUCUCAUUCUACAACUAGUGAGUCCUCUUAGCCAAUCAAGUAUUGAUGUUGUGGAUCGAUGGAGCUGUUACACUGUAACAGAAUGCUAUCAGGGCCUGUUCUGGUCCUCGUAUCGUAUCAAUCAGGUCUAAUACCAUUAUAUACCCCAGCCUAUUUCAGAGCAGGACCGACUGUCUCCACUGAAGACCCUGCCUGCAUAGACGUGUCUAAGCAUCACUCAAGUCUCUUCAAUCUCAUUUUUUGUUACUGUCACUUUUAUGGUUUUGAGUUUUGUCUUUUGACUAAGACAGUUUGUUUGUUUGGCUGUUGGUGUAAGAUGAGAUGUCUCGGGUGCCACACUUCACACUGUUCGCUAGGCUCAGUUUGAUUUUUCACACACAGACGGACGCACGGACAAACACUGACCCUAAUAGACUAUUGACAUGGAGAGGGGUUGAGGAGGAAGAGUCUAGACUAUUGACAUGGAGAGGAGGAAGAGUCUCUAGACUAUUGACAUGGAGAUGGGGUGAGGAGGAAGAGUCUAGACUAUUGACAUGGAGAGGGGGUGAGGAGGAAGAGUCUCUAGACUAUUGACAUGGAGAGGGGGUGAGGAGGAAGAGUCUCUAGACUAUUGACAUGGAGAGGGGGUGAGGAGGAAGAGUCUCUAGACUAUUGACAUGGAGAGGAGGAAGAGUCUCUAGACUAUUGACAUGGAGAUGGGGUGAGGAGGAAGAGUCUCUAGACUAUUGACAUGGAGAGGGGGUGAGGAGGAAGGGUCUAUAGACUAUUGACAUGGAGAGGGGGUGAGGAGGAAGAGUCUAGACUAUUGACAUGGAGAGGGGGAAGGGUCUCUAGACUAUUGACAUGGAGAGGAGGAAGGGUCUUUAGACUAUUGACAUGGAGAUGGGGUGAGGAGGAAGCAUCUCUAGACUAUUGACAUGGAGAGGAGGAAGGGUCUUUAGACUAUUGACAUGGAGAUGGGGUGAGGAGGAAGCAUCUCUAGACUAUUGACAUGGAGAGGGGGUGAGGAGGAAGAGUCUCUAGACUAUUGACAUGGAGAGGGGGUGAGGAGGAAGAGUCUCUAGACUAUUGAGAUACAGUCCCUAGUCGGUGCAAGGGGGGCAGGGUGACAUAAAUAAACACACAGAAAUGGACCAAACUGGUUUGGGAUGAAGGUGACCUUAGAACAAGGUUGUGUGUCUUGAGAGUGAAACCAGGGCUCAUCCAAGGCGUGGCCUUCCUUCACCCCUGACAGGAUGGGAUGGAAACCCUGUAUGUGUUCUCAGGUCUGUCCGUUGGCCGUAGUUGGUCGUUGACUACUGGCAGUGGAAGUGUGUGUGUGUGUGUUUAUUGUUGCAGAAACUAACCUGGUUUGAUCAUGUCAGUUGUCAUCACUGCUUUUGUUUGUGGCUUAGUUUGCCUUUUAAUCAAGAGACUGAGGUUGGGAGGAAGGAAGGAUUUUGUCCGAAAAUAAAUGUAGCCCAGUCCUUUAAAAAAUAAAAAUAAAUCCCCCAAAUAAAAAAACUGAAAACCACAAAGUCCAACUUGAUGUAGUUUGUAGUUUUGGAGCCACACCCUUCAUGACUCCUGAGAGAAAUAAAGUGUCAAUGUUGAGUUGGAACGGAACCUGGCAGCUACCUCAACACCAGGAAGUGAGGAGCACAGGGCCUGUUCAAGAGGUCCUUACGGAACGUUCAGGUAGAAAUGUGUUGUGUUGAACGGAUGUGAUUGGCUGUCUGAAUUCCUAUUAUAUUUCUAUAUGCAACGUUCAGAACAUUUCACUGAGAAUACACCCCCAUCUCUA